GACGAACGCUGGCGGCGUGCUUAACACAUGCAAGUCGAACGGAAAGGCCCUGCUUUUGUGGGGUUCUCGAGUGGCGAACGGGUGAGUAACACGUGAGUAACCUGCCCUUGACUUUGGGAUAACUUCAGGAAACUGGGGCUAAUACCGGAUAUGAGCUCCUGCUGCAUGGUGGGGGUUGGAAAGUUUCGGCGGUUGGGGAUGGACUCGCGGCUUAUCAGCUUGUUGGUGGGGUAGUGGCUUACCAAGGCUUUGACGGGUAGCCGGCCUGAGAGGGUGACCGGCGACAUUGGGACUGAGAUACGGACCAGACUCGUACGGGAGGCAGCAGUGGGGAAUAUUGCAGAAUGGGCGGAAGCCUGAUGAAGCAACGCCGCGUGCGGGAUGACGGCCUUCGGGUUGUAAACAGCUUUCGCCUGUGACGAAGCGUGAGUGACGGUAAUGGGUAAAGAAGCACCGGCUAACUACGUG
rnacentral:rRNA from 1 species